rnacentral:rRNA from 1 species
GAUGAACGCUGGCGGCGUGCCUAAUACAUGCAAGUCGAGCGAACAGAUAAGGAGCUUGCUCCUUUGACGUUAGCGGCGGACGGGUGAGUAACACGUGGGUAACCUACCUAUAAGACUGGGAUAACUUCGGGAAACCGGAGCUAAUACCGGAUAACAUUUGGAACCGCAUGGUUCUAAAGUGAAAGAUGGUUUUGCUAUCACUUAUAGAUGGACCCGCGCCGUAUUAGCUAGUUGGUAAGGUAACGGCUUACCAAGGCAACGAUACGUAGCCGACCUGAGAGGAUGAUCAGCCACACUGGAACUGAGACACGGUCCAGACUCCUACGGGAGGCAGCAGUAGGGAAUCUUCCGCAAUGGGCGAAAGCCUGACGGAGCAACGCCGCGUGAGUGAUGAAGGGUUUCGGCUCGUAAAACUCUGUUAUUAGGGAAGAACAAACGUGUAAGUAACUGUGCACGUCUUGACGUUACCUAAUCAGAAAGCCACGGCUAACUACGUG